GACGAACGCUGGCGGCGUGCCUAACACAUGCAAGUGGAGCGACGAACCAGGGCUUGCCCUGGAGCAAAGCCGCGAACGGGUGAGUAACACGUGGGUGACCUGCCCUCAGCUCUGGGAUAAGCCUGGGAAACCGGGUCUAAUACUGGAUAUGACUCCAUGACGCAUGUUGUGGGGUGGAAAGCCUUGUGCGGCUGAGGAUGGGCCCGCGGCCUAUCAGCUUGUUGGUGGGGUGAUGGCCUACCAAGGCGACGACGGUAGCCGGCCUGAGAGGGCGACCGGCCACACUGGGACUGAGACACGGCCCAGACUCCUACGGAGGCAGCAGUGGGGAAUCUUGCGCAAUGGGCGAAAGCCUGACGCAGCGACGCCGCGUGAGGGAUGAAGCUCUUCGGAGUGUAAACCACUGUUGCCCGGGACGAAUAGCUCGAUUAAUCGAGCCUGACGGUACCGGGUGA
rnacentral:rRNA from 1 species